UGGGGGCCUGAGGAUUGGCCGAGGGGGGUGGAGAAGAGGGUCUCGCUGGGAGCAGAGGAGCUGUACCUGCCCCUUCAGAUGAGGAUUCCUGCACACCUGCGUUCACCGGGAUGCUGGGCCUGUCUGGAGCUGCGGGGCAAAGAACGGGGCCUGCUCCCAGUGGGAGAGUGUGUGUGUCACGGGAGCGGGUGCCCUGCUGUCUGCCCCACGCCUCCCCCUGAGUGCAGGGGACUGAGGGCACCCGGACAAGAGAACGGGAUGGUGGGACCUCCCUGUGUUUCAAGGAUCUGUCUCCCUUGGGAGGCCACUUGGAGAAAGCAGGGGGCCCUCAAGGGGCCCAGGGCUGGAGGAGAGGGCAAGUGGAGACUCGUGGUGGCCUGGGGGCUUCAGAGCGCCACUCAGGGGCACUUUGAGGGCAAAUUUAUCUUCUCAAAGCACAACAGCAGCCUGUGCUGGUUUCAGGGGAGCCAAACAGCCUCUGAGGGGACUGGCUGGACCAGUGGGCAUAGUGGACAAGAAUCUGGCAGCGGUGGUUGGCAGGGUCCCUGGGCACAGGACCCAGAGUGAUGCAAAGCCAGCGGUCGGGAGUGAAAAGUGGUUCUUCUUGUUUUGAGGGAUCUCAGGUGGGAAGACCCCGGACAUCUGUCUCUGGGGCAGCAGGUGGCUUCAGGGGCUGCUGCUCAUUAAUUUCCGGGUCCAUGUGUGACUGCAGGAUCUUUUAUCUAACUUACUGCUGCUCAGAGAAAACACCAGAAUAACCCAGCAGGCAACAGGCAGCUGGACAGUCCAGCUGGUGGGUUGGGGCUCCCUGUCCACAUCAGAAGCCAAAUCCAGGCUGCUGUGCAUGACUCCAGUGGCAAGACAGAGGGGAGGGAGGGGAGAGGGGAGAGGGCAGCAUUGGCUCCUGGAGGUCCUGCGUCCUGAGGCCCGCCUGCAGUGCCCAUUCUGCCGGUUUGAAGAUCACUGUCCUGGAUUAUUGGCACAGGGAACCCCCACUGCUCAGGGAACCCCAGCCCACCAAGAUGGUACUUUAAGGACAUCCCUAGGACUUACCUCUGGACCACACUCAUGGCAGGAGGAGGGGUGGGUGCAGAGGCCGUGGGUGCAGGCCCACCAUCCUCAGAGAGAAGGGCUUGGGACCCAGAGGGGAAGGAACCCGGGACCAGGACGGCUACAGGCCACAUGCCUCAAGGAGACAAGUGUCCAUAGCCAGGGAGAAGAUGAGAAAGCCGGGGCUGGGGGCCAGGACCCUGCUCACACUGGUGGGGACAGGCCUCAACCGCUCCGAGGAGGUGAAGCAGACAGGCCCGGUCCUCCUGGGGGCUGACCUGAGUAUACUCCGCUUUGUCUGGCCCAGCAGCCUGGGGGGCAGUGACUCCCAGCCUGGCUCUAUCAACCUGCCCUGAAGAUGUAUUCGCACGUUUGCCGCUCUCCCUGCAACCUCUCCCUCAAAGGCAGGCUGGGGACCGUGCGAGCAACAGAUGUAGAGUUCUAACUCCGUGCCGCUGACUGUGGCAUCAGGCUGCAGAUCCCAAAGACUCUGCAAACCCCGAGUAAGACGGAGACAAGCAGACCCUCAGGCAUGUCGUGUUAAAAUGUGGAAAACAGAAGACGGGGAGAAAAUCCCUCAAGUUGCCAGAAGAGACAGAUUAUCUUCAAAAGAGCAACAAAUAGACACCAUCAACUCCUCCAUAGACACAAUGGAAGCAGACAGUGAGGAGCGAGUCUCAAACGACGGAGGGAAAACGGCUCAGAAUACUGAAUUCUGCCCGGGAGAGUGAGUUUCGAGAAUAUAGGAGCCCAUCCAGGACACACGUCACAUCUAGUCAGAACUCUUGGCUGUCACGAUUUCUCAGAUGUUCCUGUUUUUGAUGACCUUGGCAGUUCUGAGGAGCACCGGCCAGGAGUUUGGUGGGGUGUUCUUCAGUUUGGCAGGAUCCACCCAGCGGCUGGGAGGGUGAAGAAUUCUCAUGAAGCUGCUCUUCAGACCACGACCUGAACUGAGAGGAAAGGACCUGAGCCUGCAGCACACGCAGGGGAUGAUCCCACAGCACGGUCCUCGUGGUAGUGUUCCUGCCACGCGAGUCAGGCGCAGAAGCCUCUGGGGCUCCCGAGGCACACGCUUCAGCGGGCACUGCCUUGCAAUCAGCCACAGGCGAAGGCUUGAUUGACGAGGAUGCUGAGCCUGCCAUGACGGCCAACAUCCGGGUCCCGGGGUGGGAAGCUCAGCGUGGCACUGCACUCAGGCCCCAGAGCAUGAUGAGUCAGGCCUCCCGUCCCAUCUUCGUGGCUGUGUCCCUCAGGACCACGCCUGGUACAAUUCUGUGUCAGUCAGGGUCCGCUCAGGAGCCAGAAUGGCACAGCAACGGCACCAGGAAGGUUUAAUAUACAGAGUUACUAACUGUGAGAGGGGCUCUCCCCUGGGCGGCGUGAGAGCUCUAGAGAGCCAGGAACCGCAGAUGGAGGGGGCGGACCUCUCAGUGGCGGCGCUGAUCCCAGAGUCCAGCUCUUCCCAGACUGAGAUCCAGACUUCAGGGAGCGAGCAGCGGUGGCCAACAGGGUCAUGGAGCAGUUCACUGAGGUGGUGUGCUGCUGAACUUUCUGGAAGCUGCGUGUGUAUCUGGUGCCCGAGAAACGUCCCCCGGGCAGCGCGGGGUCGAGGGACUCCGCGGGAAGCUGCUGGCACGUGGGCCGCCCGCUCCGGUGUGGCUGAUCUGUAACAGGAGGCAUCCUGACGUGGGGCUGUAAGAAGCAGAGAUUCUUUUAGGGGUCACGGAAGCUUCCUGGGGAGGCCGUGGGCAAAGCAGAGGGUCUCACCUGGAGUGUUGGAGAGGGGAUAGGACGCUGGGGGGCUCUAGGUCCUUGGAUGGGGUGGGAGGGAGGAUCAGAAAGGGGACCCUGGUGACCGGUGUGCUGUCUUCACAAAGGCCGACACCUCUGACUCCACUUCCCCCUCUCCAGCCUUCUACCCUCGCCCUCUGCCCCGCUGGGGACACUGAGCCCAGCAGACCCACCUGGGACUGAAGGAAACCUGUUUUGUCCCGUUUCCCAGCCUCAGAGGGCAGGACGCCCGCCACGCCCUCUCAGAUCUCUGCACCGCAACAGCCAAGGGUGCCGGCCGAGCAGGGGGCUCGCUCUCACUUCCUCCCUGGCUGGGGGCGCUUUCCCUGCUCCCCUGCUUCAGAAUUCUGCCCCCAUGAGGCCUCUGUGCUCCAGGCGGGGUGGAGGGUGGAGGGUGGAGGGUGGAGGGUGGGCCCAGCCCCAGCGAGCCUCCAAGGGUGAUUGCCGGCCACACUCUGGGCCUAGCCCGGCCCAGCCGUGCUCCAGGACACACUGUUCAGGGAGCAUGCACACCUGCCCCUCCCCGGGAGCCCCCAGCCCCGCCUCCAGGGGAGCACGCCCUGGGAACAGGCCGAGCUCACUCCUCCAUCGGGGAGACUCCCCGAGUGGCGGCUUCUCUGGGCUCAGCAACACCAGUUCCACCACAGCAUCGUGAAGCCCAAGAGCCUAGGGGUCCCCGGAGGCCGUGAAGCCCAUCCUUCUUGUUGUUCAGAGGGGGAAACUGAGGCCCACUGGUGGAGAAGGACCAGAGGCCUGAGCAUCCAGGACCUCAUGUCUGCAAAAGCCGAACAUCUGGGAACAGAGCCAAAUGGAAACGGGCUCAUUCACGCUGGAGGCUUAGAACAGUGCCGGCGCACAGCAUGUGCUACACAAACGCUAAUAAUAAUAAUAAUUAAUAAUAACAACAAUAGCAGUCACCCCUUUAGAACUCGGGGUUCUUAUCCCAGACUCUGAAAUCCAGCUGCUCUCUAGGUAGUCUGGGUAGCUGACAGAUUGCAGCUUGCUUUCAAAUCUUGGUGCAUUUUGCGAAACUGCCCUUUCCCAGCAUCCACAAGGAGGCGUCCACACAGCAGGCAUUCGGUGUAGAUUUGCUGAGUGAAUGGCUGAGCGAAUGAGGGAGUGGUGAUGCCUCCCCAGUUGGGAGGACCCCCACCCCUCGCCGUGCCGCUCAAGAAGCAAGUCCUGUUCCCCCAGCCCCUGCUCUGUGUGCACCUGUUUCCUCCAGGAAGCCUUCCUGGAUGUCCAGUGGAGUCAGAAGCUGCUUUGGUGUCCCCAGGGCUCUCUGGGCCUCCCCACAUCGUGUCCCGACUGCGGUGUAUCGCCACUGUCACUCGUCACUCGAUGAUGCAUGAGCAUCAGGAGGGCUGUGACUGGGCCAGGAGCCAUCACGUCCUUGGCUCCUGGCUCAGGGCCUGCCUGUGCAGGAGUCAGGCUCCCUCAUCUGCCCUCAGUUCUGGGGGAGUGCAGGAAGCAGAGGUUUCUGUAGGGGUCUGAGUGGGGGCCCAGAAGAUGGCUGGGCCAAGAGGCGGCAGGCCCGUCGUGGAAGAGCAGCCACGGACCAGCGGGGACAUGGCAGGAAGAUCCCCAGUGAAGGGGCUGAAAGGCAGGGCCACCAGUGAGGCCAGCCCUCCCUAGCCUGGGGAGCCAGCUGGAGCUGGGUUACGGCCCAGCUGUGCUGCACGAGCCUUUGCAAGUGGCAUAACUUCUCUGAGCCUCGGUGAAUGGUGGCUGUUCAGUUUACAGGUAACCUGGACCAAGCAUCAGAUCCGUUGCCGUGGAGACCACAGGUCCCGCACUCUCCAGGGACCCCACAGAGACGCCAGCUCCUCAUCCAGCAGAGACCAGCUCGAAGGGGAGCCGGGGGAGCAAGACGCUGGCCAAGUCAAACAUUCACCCAAGGGGCCGACUUAAAGAGUUCCAGGCCCUGUCUCCUGUCGUCCGGGGAAAAUCACGGCAGGAUGGGCAUCGCAGAAUGCAGGGAGCCGCAUCUCCUCUGCAUGUCAUAGAGGCAGAUGAGUGAGGUAGGUCCUCAACCAGGAUCCGAAUCCAGGCCCCUGAAGUGGAGUGCACUGAACUUAACCACUAGGCCAUGGGGCCAGCCCCAAGAGCCCCUUUGUGAAGCCAACUAACCAAUAAAGACAAAGC